CCCUUAGACGUUCUGGGCCGCACGCGCGCUACACUGACCAGUGCAACAAGCAUCCGUCCUUGGCCGACAGGCUCGGGCAAUCUUUGAACGCUGGUCGUGAUGGGGAUAGACUUUUGCAAUUUUUGGUCUUCAACGAGGAAUUCCUAGUAAACGCAAGUCAUCAACUUGCAUUGAUUACGUCCCUGCCCUUUGUACACACCGCCCGUCGCACCUACCGACUGAAUGGUCCGGUGAAGCCUCCGGAUUGGCGCGCACCUCGGUGCCGCCGAGAAGUUGGCUAAACCUUACCAUUUAGAGGAAGGUGAANUCGUANCA
rnacentral:rRNA from 1 species